GAUGAACGCUGGCGGCGUGCCUAACACAUGCAAGUCGAACGGAAAGGCCCAAGCUUGCUUGGGUAAUCGAGUGGCGAACGGGUGAGUAACACGUGGGUGAUCGGCCCUGCACUUCGGGAUAAGCCUGGGAAACUGGGUCUAAUACCGGAUAGGAUCACUUCUUGGAUGUUGUGGAGGAAAGUUUUUUGGGUGUGGGAUGAGUUGGCGGCGUAUCGGCUUGUUGGUGGGGUGAUGGCCUACCAAGGCGUCGACGGGUAGCCGGACUGUGGAGGUGUACCGCGGUAUUGGGACUGAGGGACGGCCCAGGCGGCGACGAGAGGCAGCAGGGGGGAAGAUUGAACAAGGGGCGCCGGCCGGGUGAAGCAGGGCUGCGGGUUGGAAGACGGUCUUCUUGUUGAAGAAAAGUUGCGCUAGGAACGAAGCGUUUUGUGACGGUACCUAGAGAAGAAGCACCGGCUAACUACGUG
rnacentral:rRNA from 1 species